CGUGUAGCAAUACACGAGUGGCGCACGGGUGAGUAACGCGUGGAUAUCUGCCUUUUGGUUCGGAAUAACCCCGGGAAACUGGGGCUAAUACCGGAUGGUUCCUACGGGAUAAAGAUUUAUCGCCAAAAGAUGAGUCCGCGUACGAUUAGCUAGUUGGUGAGGUAAUGGCUCACCAAGGCGACGAUCGUUAGCUGGUCUGAGAGGACGAUCAGCCACACUGGGACUGAGACACGGCCCAGACUCCUACGGGAGGCAGCAGUGGGGAAUAUUGGACAAUGGGGGCAACCCUGAUCCAGCCAUGCCGCGUGAGUGAUGAAGGCCUUCGGGUUGUAAAGCUCUUUUGGCGGGGACGAUGAUGACGGUACCCGCAGAAUAAGCCCCGGCUAACUUCGUGCCAGCAGCCGCGGUAAGACGAAGGGGGCUAGCGUUGUUCGGAAUUACUGGGCGUAAAGCGAGUGUAGGUGGUUGUCAUAGUCAGGUGUGAAAGCCUUGAGCUCAACUCAAGAAAUGCACUUGAUACUGGGCGACUAGAGGACCGGAGAGGAUAGUGGAAUUCCCAGUGUAGUGGUGAAAUACGUAGAGAUUGGGAAGAACACCAGUGGCGAAGGCGGCUAUCUGGACGGUUCUGACACUAAGAC
rnacentral:rRNA from 1 species